UCGAUUGAUGCAGGUCAGUUUUUCCCUCCUUCUAUGCCCGGUCCCGGGCAACAUUGAUCCCGGUCAAUAUUCUCUCCUGCCCAAAUGGUUACCUUGGCUCCAUCGCAACAGGGCAACUGCAGGAGACGCGUCAUGUUUUUCGACAACGUGGUGAUCGCCGGAGUGCUGACCGUCAGCCUCAUGUUGGUGUUUUUUGCAGGGUUCGGAUUCUUUAUCUGGAAAGACUCGCACAAGCGCAAAAAGCCGUAGGUCUUUCUGGAUGCAAUGAGCACGCAAGGCAUUUUGGGCAACUUCGGUUGCCCUUU
rnacentral:misc_RNA from 1 species